AGGCUUCCUGCGGUGAAACG
rnacentral:misc_RNA from 1 species